CUUCUCUCUCUCCUCCGGUCCGGUCAGCUCCCCUGCAAGUCUUGCGAGAGCCGUGGGGUCAGAGGCACUCAGCGGCACUCAGACCGCGAGACUUACAGGGGAGCUGACAGGGGAGCUGACCGGACCGGAGGAGAGAGAAGGG